GUCUCCAUAGUUCAAGGGAUAGAACAAAUGCCUUCUAAGCAUUCAAUGUGAGUUCGAGUCUCACUGGAGAUAC
rnacentral:tRNA from 1 species